GGGGUUUUAGUUUAUUAAAAAAUAUAUGUUUUGCAUACAUAAGAUUUAAACUCUA
rnacentral:tRNA from 1 species